rnacentral:rRNA from 1 species
UGGGGAAUAUUGGACAAUGGGGGAAACCCUGAUCCAGCAAUGCCGCGUGAGUGAAGAAGGCCUUAGGGUUGUAAAGCUCUUUCGCCCGCGAAGAUAAUGACGGUAGCGGGAGAAGAAGCCCCGGCUAACUCCGUGCCAGCAGCCGCGGUAAUACGGAGGGGGCUAGCGUUGUUCGGAAUUACUGGGCGUAAAGCGUACGUAGGCGGAUGCGCAAGUUGGGGGUGAAAUCCCGGGGCUUAACCUCGGAAUUGCUCUCAAAACUGCACGUCUUGAGACCGAGAGAGGUAAGGGGAAUUCCUAGUGUAGAGGUGAAAUUCGUAGAUAUUAGGAAGAACACCAGUGGCGAAGGCGCCUUACUGGCUCGGUACUGACGCUGAGGUACGAAAGCGUGGGGAGCAGAC